rnacentral:lncRNA from 1 species
UUGGGGAAUGGGGUGGUUAUAAAAGGCUCGCCUCCGGAUGCAGGAAUUUCUCGCUGCAUUGGUGGCCUUCGGCUGCUGUCUGCUCUUUAAUUUGGUCGGGUUGUUGUCUCUUUGAAAUAUUCCCCGUUUCCAUUCUCAAUUUUAUAUUUUAUGUUUUACUUUGUUCUGUAUUUGUUUUGCUGUUAUUUUUUCUCUCUCUCAUUUACCUGUUUUUUGUCGUUGAUGGUAUCUUAUUUAAUUGUUCUCAUUUGGCGCAUUCUUUAUUUCUCAACGAAAUGAUUUUCUGUUCCUUAGAAUACAAUUUAAGUAAAGAUGUUCUUAAGUGUCAUGUGAUUUUCUCCCAAGUAAAGUUUUCAAUUGUGCAUUUCCCUAAAAU